UGAGGAACAUGUUUUGAAGAUUAUUAAAGUAUGAAAGAUGACGACGAGAGACGCGUGGGGAAUGCGUUGUUCUGCCUUCGCCUAAAAAACACCAGCUUCUGUCGUUCAGAAUUGCUCUGUGAGGAAAAACAAAAAACAGGUUAAGAUGGGGUUUAGUUGUCGUAUUGUGACGGAACUUCACUACAUGCCACUGGCCUUGUUCCUCACCGCCAGCCACGUGGUACCACUAGUCUGAAUACUUUAAAACUAGCGAUCAGACUAGCUAAAGCUAGUGAUGCUAACCACUGCCCUCAUUCAUCAGCAGCUGAUUUUCAUACUGUGAUUCACGCAGACAUAUGAACACGUACUGCGUCACUUUGUUGUUCCCCGGACGAAAUUGCGAGUACUUCUGCCACCUCAGCAGAGGGCCAAAGGGCACGGGAGUCCACCGCUGCGGCUAUUUGCUUGGUCGGGACCCCGGGAGGCGGCGUUGGUUGACGACGGGGCCCGCUGCAACUUUGUGACCUGCGGUACUCAUUUGGCAGCGCCGGUACGGCUUUGCGAUGCCGCUUGUCGUCGGAUUUCGGACUCUCUGUGCGGCCAUUUCGAAUGAACAUCCCCGAGGCCUUCAGAAUGGACCUUUCCGACUGGCGCUCUUCAGCUCCCCCCCCCUUAGCGACAGCUGCCAUCUCCCACAAUCUUCCAUAAUGGCAACUGAACAGAACAGGUUUGAAGUUGAUUCUCUAUAGCGUAUUCCAGAUAAUAUCGGGGUGUGUUUUUUGCCAAAUGCGUCAGACUUGUCCAAGAGAGUUCUACAGAGAGGUCUCAACUAUUUCACGCGAGGAUAUGUACACGGAAUUAAGAUUUUGGACGCAAUGUCAGAGUUACGGAGAAAUGUUGGCGAUCGACGCAAACUUCAUAUUGAAAUCCACCAGGAUCAAAUAGUGGAAUCGUACUACGCAUGUAAAGCGGGGUGAGUACUUUUUACUUGGAAAGAUCACCAGUAUUAUCAUUGUAGUCUUCAUAAGUGAGGGGGUGUAUUCAUUUGUCUUGGUUCGUAAUGGAACGCAGUGCUCUGUCUUAAAAGUCCGAUGUGACACAAAUUGGCAAAUAGACGUAUCACUAACCCGACUCUUCGGCAUAAAACAUGACACACUUCAUUCAGCAGGUCAGUGAUACGCUAACAAAGUGAAUGUUGUUCGCCUGCAAUGUAUAAAGCACUAAUAAUAAUUCAAUCAAACUCAGAGAAGUUACUUCUCCUUCCCUUACCUUCGAACAUGCAGCCUUGUGUUUGUUGAUAUUGUUCAUAUUUAGUUGCACUUGUACUCUUCCGCGACCUUAAUCCAUCGUAGACACUUCAACUGUGUUUUAGGCUUUGGAAAAUGAAUCACCUGGGCGGCUUGAAACCUAGCAGGAUAUCUUUCAUCGAAAUUGAACAUUCCCCAAGCGCAUCUGAGGACCAUUUUCUUCAUAACAUUAACUUUUCCAAGCGCAUGCUACUGACAACCAGCAUUGCUUGUGUGACAAUACGGCGAACGGGGCGUGUAAAAGACAAGUGCGGCUAUCUGAUUGGCUAUUAUUGCACGAACGAUUGACAGGUCGGAAAGGUCCAUUAAAAAGUUUUUCCUGAUAUAAUUUGGGUGGAAAAUAAAUGAGUGAUGAGUAUGUCAUGAUGUGACUACACAUGGGCUCGCGAUUGGCUCUAUAGGAGAAGGCGCCGACUGCAGGAAAAAUUUCAAUGCCACGUGUCAGUUUCGAAACUUUUUACAUAGGAGCAGCUUGGACUGCAAAUGCAAAACUGAACAAAAAUGUAAUGAGCAUUCCGCUGUUUGAACUCCUCAAAUUCCCGCAAAAAAAAUGAGUGGAACUGAGUGUAAUAGAAAGUGAUAUCCGGCAACAAUUUUGACGCUAAUUGAUUGCCGAUCCCCAGCAAUCCCGAUUUGCCGUCGAAAGUUGUUUGGAGGACCGCUCGCGUCUUUCCUUUUUCUCCCCCUUUCGCUUUCUAUCGCUCCGUCCCGCUCGCUCUUCCCCUUUUUGGCCGCCGUCGCCACUGCGGAGACACGGCAACAGUGACUCUAUUGUGAACGCUGGGAAUUGGGCAACGGGCCAAUGAUGUCAUCCUGCCCAUCGGGAAGACCGGCGGUAACGCCCUCCUGGCGUUUCGGAAUGCACUAUUUUUUCCUGUUGUUUUCCGGAAGGCAGUGAUCAAUUUAAUUCCACCCUC